GACGAACGCUGGCGGCGUGCUUAACACAUGCAAGUCGAGCGGAGCGGCGAACGGGUGAGUAACGCGUGAGUAACUGCCCCCCUCUCUGGGAUAACAGUUGGAAACGGCUGCUAAUACCGGAUAGUGGGGGAUGACUCGCGUCCUAUCAGCUUGUUGGUGGGGUAGUGGCCUACCAAGGCGACGACGGGUAGCCGGCCGGAGAGGGCGACCGGCCACGAGGGGCUGAGAUACGGCCCAAGCUCCGACGUGAGGCAGCGGUGGUGAAUAUUGCACAAUGGGGGAACCCCUGAUGAAGCAACGCCGCGUGCGGAAAGACGGGCUGCGGGUUGUAAACCGCUUUCAGCCAUGACGCGGUAGUGGCAGAAGAAGCACCGGCUAACUACGUGCCAGCAGCCGCGGUAAUUC
rnacentral:rRNA from 1 species